rnacentral:rRNA from 1 species
ACUUGCAACCAUAUUAUGUUUAAAACAUUAGUUCUCAUCUGAUCACCAAAGCCAAGCAACAUGAAGCCUAGUUAGUUAUUAGGUUGGACAUUACUGGAGAAACCUUGGUGCAGAAGCAUUUA